rnacentral:rRNA from 1 species
GAUGAACGCUAGCGACAGGCUUAACACAUGCAAGUCGCGGGGCAGCACGGUGGUUGCUUGCAAUGCCCGAUUGCGACCGGCGCACGGGUGAGUAACGUGUAUCCAACCUGCCUUUCACCACGGGAUAAGACGGCGAAGGUCAGACUAAUACGGUAUGCUGUCUAUUGAGGGCGUCCGAGAUGGUCUAGGGGGUUGGGGAUGGAGUCGCGGCUUAUCAGCUUGUUGGUGGGGGAGUGGCUUACCAAGGCUGUGGCGGGUAGCCGGCCUGAGAGGGUGACCGGCCACAUUGGGACUGAGAUACGGCCCAGACUCCUACGGGAGGCAGCAGUGGGGAAUAUUGCACAAUGGGCGGAAGCCUGAUGCAGCAACGCCGCGUGCGGGAUGACGGCCUUCGGGUUGUAAACCGCUUUCGCCUGUGACGAAGCGUGAGUGACGGUAAUGGGUAAAGAAGCACCGGCUAACUACGUG